AGAGUUUGAUCAUGGCUCAGGAUGAACGCUAGCGGCAGGCUUAAUACAUGCAAGUCGUGGGGCAGCACAGGUAGCAAUACUGGGUGGCGACCGGCAAACGGGUGCGGAACACGUACGCAACCUUCCUUUAACUGGAGAAUAGCCCGGGGAAACCCGGAUUAAUACUCCGUAACAUUAUGAAGUGGCAUCACUUUAUAAUUAUAGCUCCGGCGGUUGAAGAUGGGCGUGCGUCUGAUUAGGUAGUUGGCGGGGUAACGGCCCACCAAGCCUACGAUCAGUAACUGGUGUGAGAGCACGACCAGUCACACGGGCACUGAGACACGGGCCCGACUCCUACGGGAGGCAGCAGUAAGGAAUAUUGGUCAAUGGACGAAAGUCUGAACCAGCCAUGCCGCGUGAAGGAUGAAGGCCCUCUGGGUUGUAAACUUCUUUUAUCUGGGACGAAAAAAGGGAAUUCUUUCUCACUUGACGGUACCAGAGGAAUAAGCACCGGCUAACUCCGUGCCAGCAGCCGCGGUAAUACGGAGGGUGCAAGCGUUAUCCGGAUUCACUGGGUUUAAAGGGUGCGUAGGUGGGUCUGUAAGUCAGUGGUGAAAUCUCCGAGCUUAACUCGGAAACUGCCAUUGAUACUAUAGGUCUUGAAUUAUCUGGAGGUGAGCGGAAUAUGUCAUGUAGCGGUGAAAUGCUUAGAUAUGACAUAGAACACCAAUUGCGAAGGCAGCUCACUACGGAUAUAUUGACACUGAGGCACGAAAGCGUGGGGAUCAAACAGGAUUAGAUACCCUAGUAGUCC
rnacentral:rRNA from 1 species